rnacentral:rRNA from 1 species
CACUUCUAAGGAAGGCAGCAGGCGCGCAAAUUACCCAAUCCUGACUCAGGGAGGUAGUGACAAGAAAUAACAAUAAACCGGCUUAUGCCGGUUUAAUUGGAAUGAGUACAAUUUAAACAUCUUAACGAGGAACAAUUGGAGGGCAAGUCUGGUGCCAGCAGCCGCGGUAAUUCCAGCCCCAUUAGCGUAUAUUAAAGUUGUUGCAGUUAAAAAGCUCGUAGUUGGAUUUCUGUGGGGACGGAGCGGCCGGCCGCAACUCGCGGUUCGAGCUAGCGCUUUCCCUACAUCCUGCCGCGAACCGUGCUACCAUUAAUUUGGUGGCGCCGGGGAUCGGCUCGAUUACUUUGAGAAAAAUAGAGUGUUCAAAGCAGGCCACACGCCUUGAAUAAGUUAGCAUGGAAUAAUAACUAAGGACUUCGGUUCUAUUUUGUUGGUGUUCGGGACUGAAGUAAUGAUUGAUAGGGACAGUUGGGGCGGUCUGUAUUCCAAAGCGAGAGGUGAAAUUCUUAGACCUUCGGAAGACAAACAGCUGCGAAAGCGUUCCGCAAGGAUGUUCCCUUUGAUCAAGAACGAAAGUUGGGGGAUCGAAGACGAUCAGAUACCGUCGUAGUCUCAACUAUAAACUAUACCAGCUAGGGAUCGGCCAACGUUAUUUCAAACCGACUUGGUCGGCACCUUAUGAGAAAUCAAAGCAUCUGGGUUCCGGGGGGAGUAUGGUCGCAAGGCUGAAACUUAAAGGAAUUGACGGAAGGGCACCACCAGCCGUGGAGCCUGUGGCUUAAUUUGACUCAACACGGGAAAACUUACCAGGUCCAGACAUAGUAAGGAUUGACAGAUUGAUAGCUCUUUCUUGAUUCUGUGGGUGGUGGUGCAUGGCCGUUCUUAGUUGGUGGAGUGAUUUGUCUGGUUAAUUCCGUUAACGAACGAGACCCCAGCCUGCUAAAUAGCGCGCGUGAGCUUUGCUCGCGGCGAGCUUCUUAGAGGGACUAUGAUGCGCGAUAGCACAUGGAAGUUUGGGGCAAUAACAGGUCUGUGAUGCCCUUAGAUGUUCUGGGCCGCACACGGGCUACACUGGCGCCUGCAACGAGCAUAUCAGCUGGCCCGAGAGGGUCUUGGCUAAUCUUUUGAACCGGCGCCGUGCUUGGGAUUGACCUUUGCAAUUGUUGGUCAUGCAACGAGGAAUGCCUUGUAAACGCGAGUCAUCAGCUCGCAUUGAAUGCGUCCCUGCCCUUUGUACACACCGCCCGACGCUCCUACCGAUGAAUGUUCCGAUGAAAUUUUCGGAGAGCACCUGUGAACUUGGCUCUGCCUUGCGAACGGGAGGCUCAAAGUCACUUAAAUCUGAACA